CAAUAAACAAAGCUUAAGAGGCUUUGUCUCAUUACAAACAUGCAUAUGGUAUAUAGUUAUAAUGAAACUUGCUCAUUCAAAUGAGCUCUAGUUAACAUUCAUUACAGUCUUGCUCGUAAUCAUCGCAAGUACACCGCUUAGGUUGUUUGCAAGUACAGUAUUUGCAAGUUGAUUCACAGGUUUCUACAAUAUCUAGACAUUGGCACAUAAUAGGAAUCCAUUCAACAUAGAACCAUUCAACAUUCUUACAGCACCUGUUGGUUGUCGAGUUGACAUCAUUGGAGGAGAUCACUUGAGUGAUGAAGGAUUUUGAAUCAAAACGAGCAUCAAUAGUUGCAAUGAAGCUUAAGAGGAAAAUCAACAUAGCUAACUUUAUCAUUGUCUUCUUGUUCAUCAAGCCCAUUAUUACUCUCUUUAUAUCUUUCUGUUUAAUAUCUCUAAUUUAUUUGACUUGUGAAGAGCCAACCAUGUCUGGCUCUAUUUAUAAUGGAGUGCAAUAAGGGCUAUAAGGGUCUUGUUUUUCAAUUCAUAGGAGGUAUACCACAUAUUAUAAAGUAGAAUAUGAUAAUAAUGCUAUUUUUAUACAAGUUUCAUUUUCAUAUUUUUAUUGUUUAUUUAUUUCC
rnacentral:lncRNA from 1 species